rnacentral:rRNA from 1 species
CCUACGGGAGGCAGCAGUAGAGAAUAUUGGACAAUGGGUGCGAGCCUGAUCCAGCCAUGCCGCGUGCAGGAAGACGGCCUUCUGGGUUGUAAACUGCUCUUGCUAGGGGAUAAUAAGUCUCUGCGGGGAAAAUUGAAGGUACCUGGUGAAUAAGCCACGGCUAACUACGUGCCAGCAGCCGCGGUAA